rnacentral:rRNA from 1 species
UACGGAGGGGGCGAGCGUUAUUCGGAAUUAUUGGGCGUAAAGGGCGCGUAGGCGGCCGGAUAAGUCAAAGGUGAAAUCCCUCGGCUCAACUGAGGAACUGCCUUUGAAACUGUUUGGCUCGAGUCCGGGAGGGGGUAGCGGAAUUCCCAGUGUAGCGGUGAAAUGCGUAGAUAUCUGGAGGAACACCGGUGGCGAAGGCGGCAUCCUGGACCGACACUGACGCUGAGGCGCGAAAGCUAGGGUAGCAAACGGG